rnacentral:rRNA from 1 species
UCGAGACCCGAACGAGAUCGAUCGAUUUGACAACCCGUGAAUUAUUUUGCAGCUAAUUUUUGUUAGCUGAGCACCCGUCCAUCUGCUGCAUGUAACCCCUCGCGGGCCCUUAUGCCGAAGGUGAAUGGGAUACCAAACCGGCGCAGUUUUGUGCCAAGGGAAAUGCGCAGCACGAGCGUCGACGGCAUAUCCUCCCAAAGCCAUUGGCAUUGUGGAGUGGUGUUGUUUGCUCCUUAUGAAAUGUAUGACUCUCGGCAAUGGAUAUCUCGGCUCUCGCAUCGAUGAAGAGCGCAGCGAAAUGCGAUACGUGGUGUGAAUUGCAGAAUCCCGCGAACCAUCGAAUUUUUGAACGCAAGUUGCGCCUGAGGCCAACUGGCCAAGGGCACGUCCGCCUGGGGGUCAAGCAUUGGAUCGCUCCGUCUGUCAUCGACCACUAGUAGGAUGUGAUCGUGCCGUUUCGGAUGCCGGGGAAUGGCUCGUCGUGUAUUCUGUGCGGCGGGUUGAAGAUUUGGUUGAUUUCCUCGUUGCAGUAAUCGAUAUAUGGGUGGAUGGAACCCCCCAAUAGGGGCCCUCAACAUCGUAUGGUUGCCUCGAGGAAAAUAUGCAUACUGCAGUCAAGCCCGGCUCAUGGAGAU